GCUGUUCCUAUUCGGCCAUCUUGGCUCCUCCUCUCGAAAAUGAUCUUUCUUUUUCUUUUUCGUGGAUGUUUUCAUUUUUACUUCUGUAAAAUGAAAAGUAAUGUUCAAUUCAAUGUUGGCUGACAUUGAAUAAUAAUUCUUUUUCUUAAAAAGUACAAUCUGAACUUUUACAGCAUAAAUGAUAAGAGCUUUCAGAACUGUGAACUGUUGUCUCCACAUCUGAUGCUGAAGCUCGAAGCCUAAGGCACAAGCAGUUAGGAAGGGAAGGUCAUAAGCAGGCUGGAACCCACAAGCAUGAGCUGGAACCCUGCAAAGAUGGACUGAAACCCUGUUUGUUCUUGUUGCCUCUGACCCUAGUGAUGAGUGUGUCCUGCAGAAGCCAGGCCCUUCAUCGUGGAGUUAACCUGACACCUGGCCCAGGAGUCAGAGGCGCUGAAGGAGGAUUCAGGGCAGGUGGAUCGAGUUUGGGCCCAGAUGCUGCUCAAUACCAUGACAGUGAGCCAUGAGCUCAGCAACAGUUUGUGUGAGCUACAGAAUGGCUGCAUCACUUCUGCUGCUCCAAGAAGCUCACACAGAGAAAAAGUAAAUCCCUUCGUAAGAAGCUGAGAUAACAGAAUGAGGAAACUGGUCCUAGGCCAGAAAAGAGGAAUGUUCUCAGGUGAAGCGCCAAGUAUGUCACUGAAAGCCCAGUGGAGUUAAGUGUGCAAAGUCAGUCUGAACAUAUGCUGUAAUGGAUUUGACCUCGAAUAGCACUACAAAGAGAAAUUGCAGAUAACCAUCUGAACUGACUUCUGAAGCUUGUAGUUCUGGCUCCUGAGAUACAGAGAGAAAAGUGAGACCAAACAGGUGGGAGCAAACAACUCAGAGAGACCAGAAUGAAUACGAGUCUAACUUUAAAAGUAAAUAAAAUUAAAUAAAAAUGAUUUAUUCUAUAGCUCUUUGUCUUUUAUUGGUUCCCACACAAUGUCCACACAAUAAACAG
rnacentral:lncRNA from 10 species